CCCCGGCUCACACUAUCAUAGUAAUGGCCGUUUCUUCCUCUCUCUCAUCCUCCUUAUCCUACCACGAGAUACCAACUGCUACAUCUCUAAUGAAAACUGCUUUUCCUAACUAUUCAUCCAUUUUAACUACUGAACUAUCUUUCCAACAGUCAUCUAUCCCUGUUUACACUAUAAACUAAGUAUCUACAAAUCAGCAAAU
rnacentral:lncRNA from 1 species